CAGUAGCCGCGGGAAUACGUAGGGUGCAAGCGUUAAUCGGAAUUACUGGGCGUAAAGCGUGCGCAGGCGGUUAUAUAAGACAGAUGUGAAAUCCCCGGGCUCAACCUGGGAACUGCAUUUGUGACUGUAUAGCUAGAGUACGGCAGAGGGGGAUGGAAUUCCGCGUGUAGCAGUGAAAUGCGUAGAUAUGCGGAGGAACACCGAUGGCGAAGGCAAUCACCUGGGCCUGUACUGACGCUCAUGCACGAAAGCGUGGGGAGCAAACAGGAUUAGAUACCCCUGUAGUCCCUGUCUCUUAUAC
rnacentral:rRNA from 1 species